rnacentral:rRNA from 1 species
AACGAACGCUGGCGGCAGGCUUAACACAUGCAAGUCGAACGGUUGUAGCAAUACAGCAGUGGCAGACGGGUGAGUAACACGUGGGAACCUUCCUAGGGGUACGGAACAACUCAGGGAAACUUGAGCUAAUACCGUAUACGUCCGUGAGGAGAAAGAUUUAUCGCCCUUAGACGGGCCCGCGUAGGAUUAGGUAGUUGGUGGGGUAAUGGCCUACCAAGCCUACGAUCCUUAGCUGAUCUGAGAGGAUGAUCAGCCACACUGGGACUGAGACACGGCCCAGACUCCUACGGGAGGCAGCAGUGGGGAAUCUUGGACAAUGGGCGCAAGCCUGAUCCAGCCAUGCCGCGUGAGUGAAGAAGGCC